rnacentral:rRNA from 1 species
ACUCCUACGGGAGGCAGCAGUGGGGAAUAUUGCACAAUGGGCGCAAGCCUGAUGCAGCAACGCCGCGUGAGUGAUGAAGGCCUUCGGUCGUAAAGCUCUGUCCUCAAGGAAGAAUAAAUGACGGUACUUGAGGAGGAAGCCCGGCUAACUACGUGCCAGCAGCCGCGGUAAUACGUAGGGGGCAAGCGUUAUCCGGAAUCACUGGGGCGUAAAGGGGUGCGUAGGCGGUUUUCAAGUCAGAAGUGAAAGGCUAUGGCUCAACCAUAGUAAGCUUUUGAAACUGUUAAACUUGAGUGCAGGAGAGGAAAGUGGAAUUCCUAGUGUAGAGGUGAAAUUCGUAGAUAUUAGGAGGAACACCAGUGGCGAAGGCGACUUUCUGGACUGUAACUGACGCUGAGGCACGAAAGCGUGGGGAGCGAACAGGAUUAGAUACCCUGGUAGCACAGAG